CAAAAACAUAGCCUUUAGCAAAUACAAGUAUUAAAGGUCCCGCCUGCCCAGUGAAACUUUUUAACGGCCGCGGUAUUCUAACCGUGCAAAGGUAGCGUAAUCACUUGUCUUCUAAAUAAAGACCAGUAUGAACGGCUAAAUGAGGACAAACCUGUCUCUAAUAACUAAUCAGUGAAACUGAUCUUCCAGUACAAAAGCUGGAAUGUUAACAUAAGACGAGAAGACCCCGUGGAGCUUAAAACAAAGCACUAACUUCUUCAAGCCCUAGUGCCCUGUUUUGAGUUGGGGCGACUUCGGAACAAAACAAAACUUCCGAGCACAGAACCACCAGUUCGAACUAAGGCCAACAAGCCAAGGCAUAAAACCGACCCGGCCCACGCCGAGCAACGAACCAAGUUACCCCGGGGAUAACAGCGCUAUCUUCUUCAAGAGUCCCUAUCAACAAGAAGGUUUACGACCUCGAUGUUGGAUCAGGACACCCAAAUGGUGCAGCCGCUAUUAAAGGUUCGUUUGUUCAACGAUUAACAGUCCUACGUGAUCUGUUU
rnacentral:rRNA from 1 species